GCCAUGCCGCGUGUGUGAAGAAGGCCUUCGGGUUGUAAAGCACUUUCAGUCGUGAGGAAGGUAGUGUAGUUAAUAGCUGCAUUAUUUGACGUUAGCGACAGAAGAAGCACCGGCUAACUCCGUGCCAGCAGCCGCGGUAAUACGGAGGGUGCGAGCGUUAAUCGGAAUUACUGGGCGUAAAGCGCAUGCAGGUGGUUUGUUAAGUCAGAUGUGAAAGCCCGGGGCUCAACCUCGGAAUAGCAUUUGAAACUGGCAGACUAGAGUACUGUAGAGGGGGGUAGAAUUUCAGGUGUAGCGGUGAAAUGCGUAGAGAUCUGAAGGAAUACCGGUGGCGAAGGCGGCCCCCUGGACAGAUACUGACACUCAGAUGCGAAAGCGUGGGGAGCAAACAGGAUUAGAUACCCUGGUAGUCCACGCCGUAAACGAUGUCUACUUGGAGGUUGUGGCCUUGAGCCGUGGCUUUCGGAGCUAACGCGUUAAGUAGACCGCCUGGGGA
rnacentral:rRNA from 1 species